AAUUGUGGCACCCAAAAUGUCGUAGGAGUAAUUGUUAAUUGGAGUUUUUGCAUAUAAAUAUAUUUUGGGAGCUGGGGCGGUUGGCGUUAAGGAAGUAACGGCGUCAAGUCAAGUGCGAUCGGGUAAGAAACACGCUGGGUGUUUGUUAGUUGGAUUCCGGUUUUAUCUAUAUGAUGAAAGGACGAAAAAGGGCCUGGGCUGCUAUGCUGAUUAGGUGGGACGGGCAGGUCGAGUGGGCCUUCAAAUCUGUGCUGUUUCUAAGAUAAUGCAGAGAAAUUUUUUUCAAUUAAUUAACAUCACCACUCCCAUUUCUCUCUCUCUCUCCGAGAAAUUGCAGACAACUUUGAUUUGAAGUUCUCCGUUUUCUUCUCCGGCAAAUUUCCACCGUCGUUCGCUGUUGCCCUUGUCUACGUUGCUCCCUUUCUCUCUCUCUCUCUCAAGUUGCAGCUUAAUAAGAGAUUCACAGUGAAGCUGCAGCUGCAGCUGGGGUGGCCAGCCGCCGAAAUUCCUCAUCAUCGACGACCACUGCCAGUCCACUGAAUCGGAAGCUUGUGCAGAAGAGAGGGAGAACAAAGAGAGACAAGGGUGAAAUCAGGAGAGAGAGAGAGAUGUGGAAUUUAAAUUAAAUUUUGAUUUUUUAAAACUUAUUUUAUACUAAUUAAAACGAUAAAUUGAAUUUGGACAAAAAUUUAAAUUGUGGAAAAUUCACAAGAAUAUCUAAAUUAAUGUACUCCAUUUAUUUAUAUCUUUAAAACUUUGCGUGCAAAAUCAAAAUUGACCCAAAGUUAUAGAUAUAAACAAUGUAACAAAAUUAUCCCCAAAAUCAAUUUUUUAGAGAUUGAAAAAGAGUAAGAGGCUAAGAGC